GAUUCGCUCACCUUGGCCUCCCAAAGUGCUGGGAUUACAGGCGUGAGCCACCGCGCCCAGACAAUAUUGCCAUUUUUGACCCUCAGAGACGCCAAAGUUGAUGCUGGCUUUUUCCGCCUUACGUUCUGAUUUACCCUCAUCUGUAGAUGGAGAGAUUUUAUUUGUUCCCUCAAGUUAACUUUAUAAAAUUUGCUUUACUUUUUUUAUUGCAUUUUGUACUACUAUCCUUUAAAACAGCCUUUUCUUUAAAAUAAAAAAGAAAAUUUAAAUAGUUUAAUUUUCUGCACAUUUGUAAUUUUUUUUAAACUUACAAAUGUUACCACCGAUGACUCUAGCUGUACAAUGCUAUCAUCCAAAUUUAUCAAGUAAGAAAUUUAUUUUUUUUUUCCUGUAUGGUUUAAAGUUUUAGCUUGAGGGUCUCUGUAAAGAGAUGGCCAAGUUUAUUUAGAAAGAAUGCACUUUUUAUAUAUAUCUUUUUCUUUGAAAUGGCUUAAAAUGACCUGCCAUCUUUAUUAAAAUGUUUAAGAAAUUUUUAAAAAUUGAAUUUUGAGGUUUGAUUUCUUUAGUAGGUCCAAACUGAACUAAAUGUUCUCUAAAUUUUCUAGGAGCUUACAGAAUCUAUGAUAAUUCUGCCUUGAAGCAUUUAGCUUUCAGUUUAACUUCUCCUCCCCAGUUGGAGAUCCUCACUCUGAUUUUUCAACUGACAUAUAUUCUCAGAUUAAAAAGAAACCAGAAUUGUCAUUAUAAAGGGUUUACUUCCUCUCGUUGAAAAGAACACUAACAUACAACUUCAGUGAGUUAUGGACAGAAACAUUAAUACUUUAAGUUGCCUUAUUACAAAGUUAUGAUCAUAUUAAAAAUAGAAUUUAAAUUAGUUAGAAGGACAGGUAGUUUUACUCCCAUUUUGGCAUGGGGAGAAACUAAAAAUGUUGUGUCAAACAUGAAGAUUAUUCAGUUGCCCUGAAUGAAAAGUCAUGAACAAAAAGUUUGAAAUAUUUUAUUAAAAUCAUGCUACAGCAGUUUCCUAUUUUUUUCUUAGGAAAUGAAUACGUAAUUAUUGUUUUGCAAGAGCUUGAAUAUAUUUCAAAGACUGAAUGAGUCAUCUACAAUACUGUGCUUAUUAGAAAUUUAUUGAAUGUAACCUUUUGCACUUUGUAAUAUGUUUCUGAAAACUAAUCUCUCUGUAAGACCAAAUUGAAUCUCAUUUUUUGGUUUGAGUUCUGGCAGAUAGUUAGCAAAGUAAGAACUGUAAGUCAAUAGUCAUUCAACAUAGGAGAAAAGGAUUAAAUUUCCUAUACUUUCUCUUUCUUUAAGCCAGUAGCUCUUGAAUUGAUGUUCAACCAUUAUAUGUCAAAUAUCUGGACUUUUUGGUGGCUACAAUAAUGCUGGAAAUAUUUAAUAUGAAUCUCUUAAAAUGUACACCAUGUGAAUAAGUCCAGCUAAUAAUAAGGCCUGUUAUUCCUUAGUUAUCAAAAGACUAUUGCAGAGAGAGGUCUCUGCUGUGCUUUUUAAAAAGCAGACCUAAAUAUUGUAAUAAGUGAGUUAUGACUAUAAAUUUCUGUUACCUAUAUAUUAAUAUAAACAGUCAAACACAUUUCUGAUAUAGACAUGCCUAUAUGCCUGCAAAAGAUUAAGAAAAACAAUUAUUUUAGUAGAAAUAAUUUACCAAACAGGGUUGUAAUAGUUCUGUUAAAUUUGGCCAGAACACUGCUCAUUCAUUUUCAUGGUAAUCACUUAGCUAUAUGUAUGUAAGUGAGAGAAAUAUAUUAGUUAUCUCUUAGAUUAGAAGUAAUAUGACAGAUACUAUAAAAUUGAAUGUUUUCCAUGGGUCUAGCCCUGAGCUAAGCAUUUAACAUAUAUUAACUUAUUUAAUCUUAACAAGAAAUCUAUAAGGUAGGUUCACACAGUUUUGUGAAUGAAGAAAUAAAGAUUUAGAGAAUUCAAGGUGCCACACAGCUAGAAUCAAACCCAUGUCUGUCCCAUUCUAAAGACCAUGUUGUCACAUCAUUGUGUGAUAUUGCCACCUUGAAUAAAAGCUACGUGACAACUAUGAAAGUGAAUAAACAGUGUUCUAGCCAACUUUAACAGAACUACUAUAACCUUGUUCAGUAAAUCAUUUCUUUUAGAAUGGUCUGUGAAUUGGAAAUAUUAGCAGUAGCUGGGCACAAUUAAUUACAAAUGAGUUAUUGCACCAUAAUCACUUAGAAUGGUACAUACAAUACAAACUGGGUUACCAGCUACUAGAGAUCAAUGGUCAGGGAGUGAAUGUGUAUACAGUUGACCCUUGAGUCACAAAGGUAUGAACUACGUGGAUCCACUUAUAUGUGCAUUUUUUCUGCCUCUGCCACCCCUGAGAUAGCAAGACUAACCCCCGCUUUUCCUUGUUCUCCUCAGCCUACUCAACAUGAAGACAAUGAGAAUAAAGACCUUUAUGAUGAUUCACUUCCAUUGAAUGAACAGGAGACAUAUUUUCUCUUCCCUAUGAUUUCCUUGGUAAUAUUGGCUUUUCUCUAGCUUGUUUUAAGAAUAUGGUAUAAAAUAAUAAUCACAUACAAAAUAAAUGUUAAUUGACUAUGUUGUCAGUAAGGGUUAUGGUCAACAAUAGGCUAUUGGUAGACAAGUUUUUGGGUAGUCAAAGCUUAUACAGAAAUUUUUGACUGCAUAGGGGCAGCCGUGCCCCAACUUCCACAUUGUUCAAGAGUCAAGUGUAUAUUUAAAAUCCUCCCUUAAGUGAUUUGAAGCCGGAACUUGUCUUUAAAUGGUCAGAUGGAAAAGAAAGGAUUCUGUCUAGUAAAUAAAAUGAUUAAUUGAAGAUACCCACAGAUACACACUUGCUUUUUUGCUAGACUGCCUUAAGAAUAAACUUCAGUAUAAAAUAUAAGCUCAAAGGAGAAUUAGUACUGCUACAUAACAUAGAAGCAUAGUUAUUAGAAUAUAUUUUCCUUCACUGAACACAUACACACACACACACACACAUAUACAUACACACAAACACACCCACAUGCACUCACAUAUUAAUGAUGGGGAUUUAUACAGACUCGGAGAGAGUUUCAAAAUCAGGUCUUUUUUAUCUGUCUUACUUGUGGAGAAUAAAGAGUGGCAUGCUAUUCAGUAGAUAUUUGCUAGUUUAAGAAAAGAACUAAUAAACUGGAUGGCAAAAAGGUUGAGAGGGGUUGGGAAGAAAAAGUUCUUCAAUGCUCAUGAGAUGAGAAAGGUUAAGAAGACAAAAGAAAGUUAUUUUUCUUUAUAGCUCCUAUCAGACAGUUAUGAUCUUUUAAAAUGCAAAAGAAAUACUCAGCCUUAUAUGGGCAUGAGUGUUAACAAACA